UACGUAGGGGCAAGGCGUUGUCCGGAUUUAUUGGGUCGUAAAGAGCGUGUAGGCGGUCAGGUAGGUCCGUUGUGAAAACUCGAGGCUCAACCUCGAGACGCCGAUGGAAACCAUCUGACUAGAGUCCGGAAGAGGAGAGUGGAAUUCCUGGUGUAGCGGUGAAAUUCGCAGAUAUCAGGAGGAACACCGAUGGCGAAGGCAGGUCUCUGGGCAUUAACUGACGCUGAGGAGCGAAAGCAUGGGGAGCGAACAGG
rnacentral:rRNA from 1 species